rnacentral:rRNA from 1 species
GUGGGGAAUCUUCCGCAAUGGACGAAAGUCUGACGGAGCAACGCCGCGUGAGUGAUGAAGGUCUUCGGAUUGUAAAGCUCUGUUAAUCGGGACGAAAGAGCCUAGUGUGAAUAAUGCUAGGAAGUGACGGUACCGGAAUAGAAAGCCACGGCUAACUACGUGCCAGCAGCCGCGGUAAUACGUAGGUGGCAAGCGUUGUCCGGAAUUAUUGGGCGUAAAGCGCGCGCAGGCGGAUCUGCCAGUCUGUCUUAAAAGUUCGGGGCUUAACCCCGUGAUGGAAUGGAAACUACAGAUCUAGAGUAUCGGAGAGGAAAGUGGAAUUCCUAGUGUAGCGGUGAAAUGCGUAGAUAUUAGGAAGAACACCAGUGGCGAAGGCGACUUUCUGGACGAAAACUGACGCUGAGGCGCGAAAGCCAGGGGAGCGAACGGGAUUAGAAACCCGGGUAGUCC